CAUGGGCAAUUGCCGUACGUGAGAUCAUCGAUGCCUCCAUCUCCCUGCAAAGUUUGUGUCAUCAGACAUUGCAGCGCAUCAUACCUACGACAGACGAUGGUGCCUGCCGUGUGUUGAGACCUUUCAAGGUGACCUGGGCAGUUACCGUACUUGUGAGCAUGGGUGCUUCCACAACCUUGCCAAGUUCGACGUAGGAGCAGCCAAGGCGUCCUGUCGCUUUCACCUCAGCAGUGGCCAGCACU